UUGGCAUCUUCCUCCAGUGCUGGCAUAUCUGCAUCAUCCUCAGCGGAUUCCUCCUCAUCAAUGUUCAGGCCCAGCUUCAGCAUCCUGUGAAUCCUUCCUGCAAAGGUAUUUGGCUCGUCCAAGCUGAACCCAGAGGUCAGCAGAGCAGUCUCAUACAGCAGCAUCACAAGGUCCCUCACAGACUUGUCAUUCUUAUCCGCCUCAGCCCUCUUCCUCAGCUCCUCCAUUAUACCAUUCUCAGGAUUUAUCUCCAUAGUUUUCUUGCUUGACAUGUAAGAGCUCAUGCUGCUGUCCCUCAGAGCCUGAGCCUUCAUAAUCCUCUCCAUAUUAGCAGUCCAUCCAUACUCACCGGUCACCAGCACACAGGGGGAAUCCACAAUCCUGUCAGAUACCACAACCUUCUCAACGCGAUCACCAAGUAUCUCCUUAAUGGUCUUGCACAGGCCCUCAAAUGCAGCCUUCUUCUCCUCUCUUUUCUUCUUCUCCUCCUCAGUCUCCUCAAUCUUAAGGCCUUCCUUGGUUGCAGAGACAAGCUUCUUACCAUCAUACUCCUUGAGCUGCCCAACAGCAUACUCAUCAAUUGCAUCAACCAUGAAGAGCACCUCAUAACCCUUCCUCUUUAGCUUCUCUAAGAAGGGAGAGUUCUCAACUGCCUUCUUG
rnacentral:misc_RNA from 1 species